UACGGGGGGAGCAAGCGUUGUUCGGAUUUACUGGGCGUAAAGGGCGCGUAGGCGGUCAGCACAAGUCAGUUGUGAAAUCUCCGGGCUUAACCCGGAAAGGUCAACUGAUACUGUGCGACUAGAGUGCGGAAGGGGCAACUGGAAUUCUCGGUGUAGCGGUGAAAUGCGUAGAUAUCGAGAGGAACACCUGCGGCGAAGGCGGGUUGCUGGGCCGACACUGACGCUGAUGCGCGAAAGCGUGGGUAGCAAACAGG
rnacentral:rRNA from 1 species